ACUGAUAGGCUAUUUAAUUUUGCUGAAACAGUCAUAGCACAGCAUGACGUUUUCACGAUGUUUUAUGGCUUUAUAAAAGUGGGAACACACUAAAAAUAAAUCCCGGAGAAUCUCCAGCUACUGUACGACAACAACCGCAAAAAAUUAGAGGGACGAAAACCAAACGAAGACAAGAUGAAGGACUAGAAGGACAAAAGGAUGGACGGGAAAGAUGUGGAUAUAGAUGGAUAGAGGAUUAACAAAGUGAUGGAUGGACGGACGGACAGGCGGGCGGGCGGGCUUAUAGAUGGACGGAUGGACGGACAGACAGACCCUUGGAUGGAUUAAUAAAUGGAUGAAAGGACAGACAGACAGAUUUACAGACAGUUUUAUACCCAUGAGUGCACGUACACUCAAAUUUGUGCCAGACUCCAAGAAAGAUACAUUUCUGGUGGGAAAAAAAGAUCUUGUUGUGGUUUUCUAACUGCUGAGUAGGAGUGCUGCAGUGUGUCAGGCUUUGGCCUUGACCAUACCAAACUGCUUCUCUCUGCAUUUUACAAAACCUGUUGCUCACCAUCAUGAAGUUCAUUCAAAAUGUCCAUCACAAUAGACAGACAGACAGACAGACAGACAGACAGACAGACAGACAGACAGACAGACAGAUAGAUAGAUAGAUAGAUAGAUAGAUAGAUAGAUAGAUAGAUAGAUAGAUAGAUAGAUAGAUAGAUAGAUAGAUAGAUAGAUAGAUAGAUAGAUAGACCUGCGGAUGGAUUAAUAGUUGAAUGAAAGAACAGACAGACAGAAAGACAGAGGACGGACAGAUAGAUAGACAGACAGACAGACCGACCGACCC
ensembl:processed_transcript